rnacentral:lncRNA from 1 species
GCAGGGCUUCUGCAGCACGUGGUUCUGUAGCCUGAAGCCGCAAGACCUGUGGCCUGGCUUUGUGCGAAGGUCUGCAGCCCGUGUCCUGCACGUGCAUCAGCGCAGGUGUCUGAGGAGGGAGGCCUCUCUCCUUCUGUCCCCUUCAGUGCCAGCGGCUUCCAGCUCCGUGAUGACCCCUCUCAUCUUUGCAUCCUGGGUGAGAAAGCAGCUCCCAGGUGCUGCUGCUGCUGGGCUGAGGACUACGCUUUGAGCCCCACCCUGGUUCCCGAGGCGCUAGAACUUGAUGGAGCUGGCAGGACGUGUUGGCAUCGUGCAGAAACAGAGUCGGGCCUCCUGAAGGCCCAGCAGAUGGCAGAACCCCACACAUGGAGCCACUUUCCCCACCACAUUCCAACCACUAGGACUGAGGGAACCAAACUGGGACCCCACAAACAGGUCUUUCUUCCAAGUCAGCUUCUCUUGACUUUCACUGUCUCCUCCUCCAGCUGGGACACAGGAUGGUCUGGCCCUGCCAUCUGUCCUCCUGGUCCUCCCUCAGCCCCCUCGGGCUCUGGCCCAGCUCUUGGCCCGUCUCAGGAACGUGGGGCUGUUUCCUGGGUUCUUCUCUCUUCCCAACACGUCUGCAUCAGAGAUUCCUGCCCAAG